rnacentral:rRNA from 1 species
CCUACGUGAGGCAGCAGUGAGGAAUAUUGGUCAAUGGACGAGAGUCUGAACCAGCCAAGUAGCGUGAAGGAUGACUGCCCUAUGGGUUGUAAACUUCUUUUAUAAAGGAAUAAAACGAGGCACGUGUGCCUUUUUGCAUGUACUUUAUGAAUAAGGAUCGGCUAACUCUGUGCCAGCAGCCGCGGUAAUACGGAGGAUGCGAGCGUUAUCCGGAUUUAUUGGGUUUAAAGGGUGCGUAGGCGGUUUUUUAAGUUAGUGGUUAAACGUCGGGGCUUCACCUUGAUUUGCCAUUAAUACUGUAAGACUCGAGUUCAGACGAGGUAGGCGGAAUAAGUUAAGUAGCGGUGAAAUGCUUAGAUAUAACUUAGAACUCCGAUAGCGAAGGCAGCUUACCAGACUGCGACUGACGCUGAAGCACGAGAGCGUGGGUAGCGAACAGGAUUAGAUACCCCGGUAGUC